CAGGAAGAGUGGAAAAGUGAGAACUGUGAAGGAGAGAAGUGAGGAAUGGAAUAUGCAUUGUAAGGAACUUUUCAAAAAUACCCGUUUUUAUCAUGACAAAGGGACAUGAGAGGAAAAACAGCAUAGAGAAAAAGGCACAGGUUUUUGACUGCCAAAGAAGUAAUCCAGGAACCACUCAUCGCCUUCCUGUAUCAUCUUACAGCUGCCAAGAAAGAACAGAACCAUGCCAGAGAAGCAUUGGACCACCGACCACUUGAUCAAAACCGGGUAUCCACAAUGCCGGAAAAUCCCACGAGGCUGCAGCAGCCACAGCAGCCCGAGACCAAAAUAAACACCUGGAGAAGAAUGACCUCCUCUUCAAGUGAUCAUCACAAUAGAGAAAAUAUAGGACGAUCCCUCCAUGUUCCAGCAACAACUCACCAACUACAGCUUGCAGCCAGUAAGAAACUGCCACAUCUCAAAAUCUUAGUCUUCUCUAAUGGCUUUUUAUUCAAAACCUCUCCAAUUUCCUCCUAGAACCUAACAAAAACUGACCUUCCUUUUGUCUAUUUGGACUCGCCUAUGGUUCACCAUAGCUUGCAUGUCCUGAAUUGCAAUUUCUCUGCUAUUCCCA
rnacentral:lncRNA from 1 species